GACUCUAGUCCCACCAUCCAGUAAGGAGAGUCUGAUGAAAUGGCAUUGCUGUGUCCACAUGUGAUCUACGAAAAUAAUAUUUCAUCCUCACCAGCAGGACUGUUUGUGGCUGCACAUUAAAUAGGAAUAAUUUCCAAAGACUCCAGCUGGCCUUCCUCAAAAGAAAUCACAAUUCCCUCAAGAAGGAGGUCCAGAACGUUCCUGUCUGCUGGUUCACCCACUCACUGAGGACCCUAUCUAAUUCAGACUUGGCCCUAGAUCUACUUCACCGGUGCACCACAAACACCUCCCCGUGGAUGACUGAGCCAAUCAGCAUCCAGAACACUUCUGGCUUCAGCCAAUCAGUGCUCAGAAUCCUACGCCUUUUCCUUCCUCUCUGGCUGAGCUCCUGAAGACAGAAAAAUGAAAUAUCUUUCCCUCAAUAUCUUCUGGGCUCUACGACCUCCAAGAGAGAAAGAAAACGAGACAGAGAGACAGAUGGGAACAAGGUAUGUGUAAAGGGUUCUCUUUGUUCCCAAAUGGAAAGUAGAGACUUUAGGGGAGAGUGUGGACCUUUGUGUUUCAAAGGUGGAGGCCCUGAG
ensembl:lncRNA